UAUUUUCGAAAUUUAUCAUCCUGCUUUAGGGUUAUUUUUGGUAAUUUGCAUCUGAGUAUUGUGGGUGUACAUCCCUUUUGAUCAACACGUGUGUGUCGGCUGCGUUCUUCAGUCUACUCAUCUAUGUCUUCUCUCUGUCUCUCUUUUAGAUUCACCCUGGCUUAGGGAUCUUUGUUCCCCUUUGUUUUCUCCCUUUAGGUUUGAAAUUGAAAUGACAUAUUGUGGGCUAUUGAAUUUUUUCCUGGGUUCUCCUUUUUUUUUUGUAUUCGAAAGUUCUUUGAUGGAAUGGAGCUCCUUCAUCUAGACUUCAUAUUCCUUCUGCUAUACUUCCAUUUUAAUGGUUUCAAAGCAAGACUAGAGAAGAUGACCGUUGAUAAUACGAUAUUUGCCGCGACAUCAGACUCUAGAAGGUCGUAACUUUUUGGAGAUUUGAGAGGGUUGCACUAGGGUGUUCUUUGGGGAUUUUGCCCUCUUCUCCUUUGUCCUCCAUCUUAGUUGAUCCUUACGGUUAAAAAAAUAAAUUUACUGAAAGUUAUUGUAGACAAAUUUCACACAUGCAUAUAUUUAUUGACUACAUUAUUCAAUUCCUUAGCAGUCGAACACAAUGAGAAUUGAGAAAGGCUCUGCGACCAAAAUUUCAAGACAUCGAUGCCUUGUUAGAUGGUAGGAUAUACUUUGUCAUUCAAGUUGGCGAUAGAACAAGUGCAACUAUUGCCAUAUGAUGUUAGAAGCAUGAUAUAAGCAACUCAUCAAGGUAAUAAUUUCUAAUAAAAUGUUUAAGUUGAUUUUUCCGGUCAAGAAUCCUAUGACCAUAUAUCGAUAGGAUAGUCUGAUUCAUGUUAUGAGUUUACUUCUUUUUAUUCUAGAAUCACCACGUCAAUGUUGUCUGAUAUACAUUGAAGUCAUAAUUCAUAUGCUCCCUACGAUGUUGUAAGAAAACAAUGUAGAUAAACUACUACUAUUUCUAUCUGAUGGAUAUUUCUGUACCUAAGUUAGACUUCAAUAGUUUUUGUUUUCUUGAGCGACACUCUGUUAGUAUGGUUCUUGACAUUAUUUUUUCAUCUAAUGUGACACUAAAUAAGAGCCUUUUUUCCCUGCAUGUCAAGUAAUUUGGGAUCAUACUCAUGCUUAUAAUGAUACUGCCUUUUAGUCACAUUGUAAGUAAAUGUUGAAAACAAUUAUUAAAUUACCUGUUCUGCAUAGGUAUUAGGUUUUUUGUUCAGACUAGCCUGAUAUUGAAUCUUAAUAUCCAUCAAAGAUGUAUUAUUUUAAAUACCAAGGGUUCAGUUUGAAGGGAAUGAAGAAGAACGGAUAUUCAUGAGAUAAAGUGUUCCAGGAACUUAAUAUAAUAUGGUAUUCAAUGAAUUUAUUUUAGAGAGUUUUUGCAACAUUUUGAUGAGGAUUUUCUUUCGUUCAAUUGAGCAUGUGAAAAAUUGAAUGCAGGAAAUAAACCUUCAUAUUGUGCGGGGAGUUGUGUUGAAAGUUAAAACUUCCUUCUACUCAAUCUACACCUGCAGUCUAAGUUGCCUCCUUUAAUCAUCUUCCCACCCUACCUUUUAAGAAAAAAAAGGGAUAAUAAUCAUAUCCUUGACUUUUAAUAACUCAUAAUACAUUUAAGAAUAGAAACAACUCUCUAUGUAAAGGAGAACAAAAUUUAAUUUCUUGAAUUGUAUCUGGAUAUAGGGAUGAAAAGAUCAUGCUUCAUCCACUUUUCUCUUCCAUAAGAUUUUAGAAAGCUAGACUAUAUGCUUUUUCAUAGAAUAAAAAGUUGAAGUGUUGUACAUGUUGAAAUUCACAAUACAUUACCAAAUAAAAUUGCUUGUAAAUCAAUCCCUGCUCCAUUAUCUAUAAAAUUGGUAAUAGUCAUACUAUGUACAGACUAUUAAAAGGCCAAGCAUGCCUGAAACAUGUCACCUUAUGAUACUUUUGGUGAUGGAAGAUGUACCAUUAUUAUUUCAAUGGUAACCUUAGUGUAACUCUUCUUCUUUGACUGGACGAAGCAAAAAUCCUGCAUGACAAGGAAAAAUAUCCUAAUGUGCUACUUUUAGAAGUAUUGCAUUUUUUACUUUGUUUAGUAAAAACAUCACCCUAAGAAUAGAGGAUAAUACAAGUUCACUAUUUUCUUAAGCUCAAAUUACAAUGAUACACGACAUGUUUGUAAGUUAUAACACCUAACUCAUAUACCGUGGGAAGCUGAACCAGUUAAUAUGUGAAGCUCACGUAUUCUUACUUAAUUCGUUUAUGUUUCAUUAAUUGUGGUCUAUUGUUGCUUAAUUUAGUUUUUACAGGCUAAAGCAGUAGGACCACCUACUGUUUCUUAACAAUUUGUAUUUUAGGACUGUUACUCAGUUAUGCCUUUAUGAAUAUGUUAGUGCUCUUAAAUUCUACGAAUGAUUGUUGUGAACUUGAGUUGGAAAUCCUUUAUUAGCUAAAUUUUAGGAAUACUUAAAUAGUCAACAGCUACCUUACAGGAAAUAGCCUUCGGUUCUAGAUUUUCUAAUGUACCUGAUGAAUGAUUAGAUAUUUCAUUUCCUACUCUAUAUGACGCAAUAAGACGGGGGAAAAAGGUGAACCUACUAGAUGAAUUUAUUAUCUCUCAUGGUUAUUGCUUUUACUUUGCAUUCACUCAUUUGUAUGGAGGCCAUAUUUCCUUGGGAUUUGGAGGAAACUAAUAACUACUUCCCACUACAGAAAUUUUACUUGAAACCAAGUUCCUAAACUCAAGCCUCUUUUGGUCUUUGGCUAAACACUUUUACUAACUAAAAGAUAUUUUCUUUUAUUUUCUGCCUCUUCCUAAAAGAAUUCAAUAUAAUGAUCAAUGUUAUCAGUAUUUACCUUUUUGCUUGAUGAAAGAGGUACAUGUCGGUAUCCUCAGUAUAGUAAUGAUCAUAUUCCCACUCUUCUUCAAUGAUUGGAUUUGGUCAUAUUUUCUUAGAUGCACUUUCGAAAUAUAGUCAGAUGUUGACAUCCUUUUUUUCUUCUGAGAUAAAGAUGCUGACUUCUAUACUUAAAGUUUAUAUUACUAUUAACGUCAGAAUUGAUUCUUGUUCACAGAGAUACCGUCCAAUAUUUUUUGAUUUUAUCCUAAUUGUAGUGCUUCAUCUUGCCUUCAAAUUCAACCUGAUUAAUGCGAUCAAGUCACAUUGAUCAAGUCAACUGCCUUGUGAUAUUUUAGAUGUCCUACUUUGAACAAAUAGAGAAAUGAUGUAUCAUGGCAAAAAUUUCAUGACAUCACCCUGCUUGUAAUUUUGGGACUUAAUGGCAACUCAAAUGCAUGGACAAGGCUUCAUAUAAUAUCCUAUUUUGGUUAUCUUGCUGCAGUAUCUUGAUGACAGGUCACGCAUUAGAGAUGCAGUUAGGAUGGCUGAUGUAAGCAUUACUUUUUAUAUUUAACCAUUGCAAUGCUUUGGCCAGAACCUAAUAUUUUUGCUGAGAUGUCUCUGCUUUCAAAUAUGACUGACAUCCACCUGGACGCUUGAAGAUUUUAAGGUUGCAAUUGCACAAGAUAUUAGCUCUUCACCAAUAUCAGAUACCAACUUAAAGGUCUAAUAUGGCUAAGGAACUGUAUACUCUGUUUACAUCGAACUUUUAUUAGAACUGAAUUUUAAGCGAAACUAAAAAAUGCACUUUCACUAUAUAAAUUUGUAUAUAUUUGUCUUCCUAUUG